rnacentral:rRNA from 1 species
GUACACUCCUACGGGAGGCAGCAGUGGGGAAUUUUGGACAAUGGGCGAAAGCCUGAUCCAGCAAUGCCGCGUGAGUGAAGAAGGCCUUCGGGUUGUAAAGCUCUUUUGUCAGGGAAGAAACGGUGAGAGCUAAUAUCUCUUGCUAAUGACGGUACCUGAAGAAUAAGCACCGGCUAACUACGUGCCAGCAGCCGCGGUAAUACGUAGGGUGCAAGCGUUAAUCGGAAUUACUGGGCGUAAAGCGUGCGCAGGCGGUUUUGUAAGUCUGAUGUGAAAUCCCCGGGCUCAACCUGGGAAUUGCAUUGGAGACUGCAAGGCUAGAAUCUGGCAGAGGGGGGUAGAAUUCCACGUGUAGCAGUGAAAUGCGUAGAUAUGUGGAGGAACACCGAUGGCGAAGGCAGCCCCCUGGGUCAAGAUUGACGCUCAUGCACGAAAGCGUGGGGAGCAAACAGGAUUAGAUACCCUGGUAGUCCCAUGAU